ACCAAACCAUGGUCUUGUUGUUUUGGUGUCUAAAUGCACCUGCCGUCCCUGCAUGGUGCUGACUUUUUGUUUGCUAAACUCAAAUGUAACGGCGGCUGACCGAAGCGACAGCUCCCAGAGCUCUGCACCCGUCCUCGCCACACUGGCCAGUGAGGACUAAUUUUGUAGGAUAUUAUAUGAACUGUUAUGCAUGAGUUUUCAUAAGAUAUCAUACAAACCCAUUCAUUAGAAUGAACUCAAAUUUGUAUACGACCAUUCUACUGAACAUAUGUAGUCCCAUGUGCAAAAUAAACUACACUAAACUUAAACUAACUUUUUGUGAUGUGUUUCAGUCAAAAUGAGCAGUUGGACCAAAAUAUUUACUGGAGCUGGAAUUCUUGCUGUCGGACUUGGAGUUGCAGCAACAGCUUUUCUUUUACGAAAGAACAUCAAGAACAAGUAAUACAAGUAAGUCCAAAGACAAAGAAGCAUCAGCCGCUAAAUAACCCGGCACACA